CUGAAACCUGUGGAGAUAAAAGGGAACAUUGCUGCAGCCAGACACAACCCUCUGCCUUUGCCAAGGCAGAAGAAAGGCUGGAAGCAGAGAAAGGAACACAGUGUCCUCCUUACACAACCCGUUAACACCAGGAAAAGUGCAUUCUCUUAAAUGGAAACCAGGAGCUGCAGCACUGAUGGUCUGAGUGAUGGACAGGUCUGGAAAUUAGAACCACCCUGAGAGGAUCGGUUGGUUCACAUCUCUUAGCUCUCUGUUUCAAGGACUAUGAUCCAUCAGACUCUCCAACUGUCCACAACACUGUCACUUUGGCCCUUCACUGUCACAUAAUCCUGCCUGUGCUGGAAAAGGUGCCUGAGAGAUCCAAAUAACAAGAACUAGCCAACCCUGAAGGAGGUCUGGAAGAGCAGCACACAUUCAUCAGGAUGUUAGCAGAUACAGCACCCUCCAACUGUGGAGUCUUCUGAGGUAAACUUCAUCAGAAUGGAAAUCUUCAUGUAAAAGAAUGAUUUUUGCUGGGUUCUUUCAGCCCAGCA